UACAGAGGGUGCGAGCGUUAAUCGGAAUUACUGGGCGUAAAGCGCGCGUAGGCGGCUUGGUAUGUCGGGUGUGAAAUCCCCGGGCUCAACCUGGGAACUGCAUCCGAAACUGCCUUGCUCGAGUAUGGGAGAGGGAAGUGGAAUUUCCGGUGUAGCGGUGAAAUGCGUAGAUAUCGGAAGGAACAUCAGUGGCGAAGGCGACUUCCUGGACCAAUACUGACGCUCAGGUGCGAAAGCGUGGGGAGCAAACAGG
rnacentral:rRNA from 1 species